UACGUAGGGCGCAAGCGUUAUCCGGAAUUAUUGGGCGUAAAGAGCUCGUAGGCGGUUUGUCGCGUCUGCCGUGAAAGCCCGGGGCUCAACUCCGGAUCUGCGGUGGGUACGGGCAGACUAGAGUGCAGUAGGGGAGACUGGAAUUCCUGGUAUAGCGGUGAAAUGCGCAGAUAUCAGGAGGAACACCGAUGGCGAAGGCAGGUCUCUGGGCUGUAACUGACGCUGAGGAGCGAAAGCAUGGGGAGCGAACAGG
rnacentral:rRNA from 1 species